rnacentral:rRNA from 1 species
GCCUUUUAAUUGGAGGCUUGUAUGAAUGGUCGGAUGAGAAAUUAACUUUCUUUAUUUUAUUUUAAAUAAUUUUAUUUAUUAGUUAAAAAGCUAAUAUGUUUUUAUUAGACGAGAAGACCCUAUAGAACUUUAUAUUUAUUUUUAUUAUUUAUUUUUAGUUUAUUUUUUUUAAUAUAAAUAUUUAUUUUGUUGGGGUGACAUAUAAAUUUAUUUAACUUUAUUUUAUUUUAUAUCAUUAAUGUAUGUUUUUUUGAUCCAUUUUUAUGAUUAUAAUUUUAAGUUACCUUAGGGAUAACAGCGUAAUUUUAUUGGAGAGUUCUUAUUUAUAAUAAAGUUUGCGACCUCGAUGUUGGAUUAAAAUUAGUUUUUGGUGUAGCAGCUAAAUUUUACUAGGUCUGUUCGACCUUUAAAUUUUUACA